AACGAACGCUGGCGGCAGGCCUAACACAUGCAAGUCGAACGGAUCCUUCGGGAUUAGUGGCAGACGGGUGAGUAACGCGUGGGAAGCUACCUUGUGGUAGGGAACAACAGUUGGAAACGACUGCUAAUACCCUAUGAGCCCUAUGGGGGAAAGAUUUAUCGCCAUGAGAUGUGCCCGCGUUAGAUUAGCUAGUUGGUAAGGUAAUGGCUUACCAAGGCGACGAUCUAUAGCUGGUCUGAGAGGAUGAUCAGCCACACUGGGACUGAGACACGGCCCAGACUCCUACGGGAGGCAGCAGUGGGGAAUAUUGGACAAUGGGGGCAACCCUGAUCCAGCCAUGCCGCGUGAGUGAUGACGGCCUUAGGGUUGUAAAGCUCUUUCAGCAGUGAAGAUAAUGACAUUAACUGCAGAAGAAGCCCCGGCUAACUUCGUGCCAGCAGCCGCGGUAAUACGAAGGGGGCUAGCGUUGUUCGGAAUCACUGGGCGUAAAGCGUACGUAGGCGGACUGAUCAGUCAGGGGUGAAAUCCCGGGGCUCAACCCCGGAACUGCCUUUGAUACUGUCAGUCUUGAGAUCGAGAGAGGUGAGUGGAACUCCGAGUGUAGAGGUGAAAUUCGUAGAUAUUCGGAAGAACACCAGUGGCGAAGGCGGCUCACUGGCUCGAUACCUGAC
rnacentral:rRNA from 1 species